GCUGAGGUGGCGGAGCGGCUAUCGCACGAGACUGUAAAUCUCGCGUCCGAAAGGACUUCAUAGGUUCGAAUCCUAUCCUCAGCA
rnacentral:tRNA from 1 species